rnacentral:rRNA from 1 species
UACGAAGGGGGCUAGCGUUGCUCGGAAUGACUGGGCGUAAAGCGCACGUAGGCGGCUUUGUAAGUUAGAGGUGAAAGCCUGGAGCUCAACUCCAGAAUUGCCUUUAAGACUGCAUCGCUUGAAUCCAGGAGAGGUGAGUGGAAUUCCGAGUGUAGAGGUGAAAUUCGUAGAUAUUCGGAAGAACACCAGUGGCGAAGGCGGCUCACUGGACUGGUAUUGACGCUGAGGUGCGAAAGCGUGGGGAGCAAACAGG